AAAUUUACAAGAAUAAUUGAUUGUAAUUGGUCAGUUUCUUUACUGCUUACGUCUUACUGCUUACAUUCAUUUGUGUGUGAUAGCCUUUAUCUGUGCCUCCGUGACAGCCUCCGUUUCCUAACCUAAAUUGUUAUCAACUUUAACAGUUUAUAUCUUGCUCCACAAGGCAGAGCGACGAUUUUUUCAAAUAGAAAAGUUGUUUCUCUUGCAAAAACGCGUCGAUUAAAUAUUUUUUCGUCGAUAUCGAAGAUGCAAGACGCAGUUUGCCUCAAUUUUGGUGUGUUAACUAAUAAGGAAUUGAACUUUAUGCUUCAAUAUGAGAGUAAUAUCACAUUGGGAAUGAAAGAAAUAAUGCAGAUCACAGACAACAGGAAGGAAAACACUACAGAGAUAACUGAUAUAGAAAUUGUAGCAGAAUUCCGCUGAAAGAUGCAAUUACCACGUGCAAUCUUGAGUCCCGUGCUUUCGGAUAAAUCAAAAAUAACAGAUGAAUUCAGAGAAAAUUUACCAUCAACUCCACGAAAACGACUGCUACGUCAGUCGCAGGGAGAGACACCAACGAAAAGGAAGCGUAUAUCGUUAGAAAAUAUUGAAUUACCUAUUAUGGAUACUUUGAGCAUAGCUGCUGCACCUCUAGAGGAUACUUCAAUGCCAGAACAAAGACUAACUUAUACAUUGUCUAUAAAAGAUAUGGAAAUGACAGCUUCUUUAUGACACAUAAUCCCAGACAUUGACAUGGAAUUGGAACCUCUCAAGAAGAAAUACGUGAAUUACAAAAAACAAGAGAGGACUAUACAGCAUCAAUGACAAUGUUAUUGAUACUACAUCAGGAGAUAAGAACAGAUAUGGAUAUAGAUGUUACUAGUAGCCUUGAAGAUAUAGAAAUUUUACUGGGAAAGAUACAAGAUCCC
rnacentral:misc_RNA from 1 species